GCUGCCAUAGCAUGGACGACCAAUGGAAAACCUGUAAUUAAGCUGAUUAUGCAAGGGUAAAUGAUAAAUGUGUCGGCUUCUGGAUCAUUCUUCACAUUUCUUUCUUAGUCCGUCGAACUGUUAUCACCAGCUUCAUCUGCGUAUUGACAAGUUUAAUCUGAAACGGUUAUCAUCAAGUCAGAUUUAGCUACCAAUCACCCAUAAAAUCCCAAAAUUAACCUUAUAGUGUUUUAAAACUUUACAGCAGCUUAUAAUAUACUACAUCUACUUGAUAUUGAGUGGAGAUCGUGACAUUUUCCUACCAAAGAUUGAGAUUUGCUUUGUGAAGGCUUUGUUGAUCAGUGAACUAUACACAUUGAGAGAGUUCAGGACUUUAAAAUCUCCAUUCAAAGCUUAAAUUAAUUCUCAUACUAGAAUGUAAGCACAUCUAACUUAAGUAGAUGAAUUGAGGAGGAGAAAGGCUCAAUUAAUGUCGUGUAAUAGUCAACUUACUAUAGUAAUUUUUUUAAGUGUUUUCUUUCAAAGGCACAAAGAGAGAGGUGAGCAAAAAGACAAUUUUCUCUUUAGUGCUUUAGGAAAUAAUUCCUGCACCUACAUAUUUUAUUGAAAUUUCUAUAAAAAAAACCUAUAUUGUUCUAUUCGUUAACUUUUAUAUUCUUCUAUCUGUUAGCUUAACAGAAAUUAAGAAGGAAAAGAAAUUUUGAAUAUCCAACUAAACGUGGCGGGGUGAAUGGUUUUAGUUCUAUAUAGUCUGGUAGGAUUGUAUUAGUUGCAAAAAACUUCAGAAAAUGCUUCUUUAGCAAGUUUUUAGUCUCCAACUCGUGAGAAGUGUUUGGCAUUGGCUAUAUCAAAGAUAUGUUUAUAAGCUGAUUAUCAAAGUAUGGAUCACUAUUCCAAACAAAAAAUUGAUAUUUGCUUAACAAUGGAUUUUUUUUUUUCUUUUCAUGAAAGUUGUAAUGUUCUCAUUAUGAGAAUUUUGACGUAUUUCAAUUGUGAUAUCUGUGUUAUUAAAACUGAAUGUAUGUUCAUAGUCAGUUUAUGUGUCUAAACAUGUCGGCAUUUGAUUAGCUUGUAGGAUUCACACUGCAUUGGAUUUUGAGAAAUCUAAGUAGUAUAGAUAUUUAUACAACAUCCACUACUUUAUUUUCUUGGCUGUGAGAUAAAGAUGACAACAAAAGGAAAUCAAGUAUUAUGAAACAGAUUAAACAGCACCUGAACGUUUACUUUGAAUAGAUUUAGAAAUUAGACCUCAAAGCUCGGGUACCUUACAAUUAUUCUUGAGAAAUUAUAUCCAAUUUCUUGACUGAACAUCUAUAGCUAAGUUGUAUAUUAUAUGAAAUUCUUCAUAUUCCUCCAUCUUGAUCACGUGUUUCAUAUCUCUUUGUGUUCUAUUCUGAACAUUUUGGCAUGGCUAUGAUUGUAAUUGUUAAAAAAGACAGUGGCAGGAUCUAUACUUAUUUCAUAUUGAAUUCAAUUACCAUUAUAGGGUAAUGAUGGAUAGCAACAAUUAUACUGAAUUUGGAGUAAAUAUGACAUAUGGAGCUCAUGUAUACUUGACAGCGUGGUUGGUCAGUUGAAUAACCCUGAAUUCGCUUCGUAAUGUGGUGAGAGCAUAAAUAUCGUUCGGAUAAGGAGAUAUGGAGUUACUCAGCUAUCGUUUAAAAAGAUAAUACGGUCUCGUGAAAUGACAUCUGGAUAUGCUGAGAAGGAGCUUGCAAUAGAGGCAACUGCAUUGUACAUUCCUGUGGAGUAGGAUCAUCUGAACCUUUAUGUUUGGUGCUUCUUUAUUAUUCAAGCUAUCUACAGGAUUGCAUAAAAAGUGAACGAUUCUAUCAUGAUAUACUUAUCAAAAAGAAAAGAAAAAAGUAGUAUGUCCAAGUGUAUAUUUAUUUUGCAACACCUUGAUCAAUAUAUAUAUGCUAAGUGAGGGAACCUGAUUAAGAUUUACACUAUCUAAAAUGGGGAAGGAAGAGACUUUUUGGUUGCUUUGUAUGUUAUGAUAGGAGGUUCGGGUAUGCAUGGAUAUAUAUGUGGAAACCGGACACCUGAGCUUUUCUCUAUGAUGAAGCAAGAAGGAUUUAUGACUGAUUCGCAACUCGGACUGUCAUGCAUACGAGGGUCGGGUAUGCAUGGAUAUAUAUGUGGAAAUCGGACACCUGAGCUUUUCUCUAUGAUGAAGCAAGAAGGAUUUAUGACUGAUUAAGUAGAAACUGAUUGGCAACUCGGGCUGUCAUGCAGGCAUAAUGGACAAAGGAGUUAAUGGAUUCUGUGAGGAAGGUUUAUACUGCUAUUUUGAAUAAAACAUCAUAGUUCUCUGACUCAUCUUCUACUCCCAGUGGCUGUAUAGGAGAAACAUUUCAGCUUGUGUGUAAAAUGACAGAUGAACCAAAGAGUACUAAAUAUGGUAUUCUCUUUUAAGGGUUGCUUGAUGCAUCAUGAUGUUGGAACUUCCGGAUGAGGUGCUCAAAACUUCCGCUUUUAAAUAAGGAACCAACAGAGACUAAGAUAGUGUCUCUAAUCAAAUGUAUGUUGAUGAGACAAUCUUGCUCAGAAACCUGAAGCUUUUUUAUAUGGAUGCUAACCAAUUCCACAGUCUAAUUCCCUUUCGAGCUUUAUAAUUUGUCAAAAACUAUCAAAUUUUUUAUAGUGUUUUCUAUAGUAUGUUGCCAUUCCUUUUUGU